UGUGGCGGCAGGGCAGGGCAGGGCAGGGCAGGGCCGGUCCCUGCCGUGGCCCCGGUUGCGCCGCCGGCAGCCCCGCCGCUCGGGAUGACCCGUCUUAAGAGUCUGGGCGAGCAACCGAGGAAAACGGGGAAAGCCGCUGCGUCCCGGGUGCAGUCCUUAAAGCCCAAGCGAAGUGGAGCUGAGAUUGUUGCAGGCGGUUAAAUAAAACAAAAGCCUUCGCUGGAUAGGACCGAAAAACGCAGGACUCGACCACUUCCCUUCCUUAAAGGAAAAAAUUCAUCGUGUUUGAGCCUCUCUCCUGCCAGCUUUUGGCCAAAAGGCAAUGAUGAACUGGGAGAAGUAGGAGGCUUGAACUGAAAUGCCCUUUUGGUCUCAAUUUACAGACACAUCGGAAGUCACGGCAAUGAAAAAAUGCAUGUGGAAAAUAAAUGAGCGCAAAAGACCGGAGUUUCAGAUCGCUUGGAGAACAGGGUCACUUGCAGGCAGAAGACAUGAAGUAAAGGGAAUGCCAACAACCACGCUCUCAGCUUUGCAAGUCAUUAACAAUCUGGAAAGAGACUGAGACAUGCUGUCAACUAAGCAGAAAAUCUCAAAGAGGCACAGAGAUGGACCAAAAUGGAAAGAUUUUUCGGGUGUGUCUCUAUACACCUCCCUUCUGUGAAGCGUUGAUUGCUGGCAGCACAAGGAACUGAGUUAUGGACUGACAUUAAAGGCACAAGUCUGGAAGCAAUCAAAUAAUGUGACUGAAGGAUUUGAAGGCACAUGUUGUAACACAGUAAGUAGACAUAGAAAUGGUUCAAGGUAAACCCUUUCUGAACCUGAAGUAAAGGUACAGGGCUAAAUGAGCGUAACUGUCAUGAACAGGGAAAACAUGGAAGUCUACCACUUUCUUUUGCUGACUCCCUCGGUGCUGGUUUCAUCACUCUGGAAGCGUGGUUACGGUUUCCCAGGGGGAAACAAAAUGAGAAUAAACACAAAUUUCUAAACUGAUUAUGCCACCUGGAACUGUACACUUAGCAAACUAGCUUUUCCAGGUGAGAGACCUAGUAAAAUAUACACUUAAGAUUUUUUUAUUACCCACCAGUAUUUGUCUGUUGAUGGUAUCAUAGGUAGAAAUACUGGAGUUGGCCAGAUAUUCAUUACUGGAUGGGUUGCUGCUUUCCUUCUACAUCACUUUUUAAUAGCAGUUUUGAGGUCCACAAUCACACUGUGGCAUAAUAACAAAUGCUUCAAGGAGAACACUUUACUUUUCAAAAGCACCUUUCUUCCAAGAAUCUCUGAGCACUUUUCAACAUGAAUUACCAGCCCACCUCUCGGUGAUAAGUAGGUGUUAUUUCCAUUUUCAAAACUGAGAAACUUAAACUGCUGCCUAAAGUAACUGUGAACCAUCUACUUCCUGAAGAUUUCUUUUUCUUGACUUGUUUUCAAUGCCUUUUCCCUCUUGCCUCCUGAACCAUUCUUAACCUCAAUUUCCUCUCCUCUCUGUCUAUAAUAAUCCUGUCGAUUGUACAGCAACUGUAAAACUCUUCCCCCCAUGCAACUUGGAUGUGAGUGUGUGCGGUGUAGACGUGCUCUCCUGAUUCAGGUAGUAAAAUGCGUUAGUUCAUUUCAAAGAGCUGUUUUAUGCAGAUAGGUUUAAAUUGUUAUUUCCAUUUUGUAUGCGUAUCUGUGGGUGGGGAGAAUUAGACUGCUGAUAAGGUAACACAGGUGUCUCAGGUGCCUCUGAUGUGGGGUACUGAAUUGGAGAGAGGCAGUUUUGCAAAGAUGCUAAGCACCUACUGCUUGGAAAGUUCAGACCACUGGUGAAUCUGAGCUCACACUGCCUGCCUGUUGCUUAGUAAGAUGCUGGUCAGCGUAUUGACUGGUGUCUGUUCUCAAUCUAAAUAACCAAGUAUUUUCCACCAGAAGGGUGCUUUGUUCAAGACAAGGGUAAUGGGUUUCACUCCCAGUAUUCACUGUACAUAUCUCUGAAUUAAACUGUUGUUACAGUGAUCAUAGUUUUUAUUUCUUAACAUUAACCUUUUUAUUGUUUUUAUGUGAAAUAGAAAUUCAGUAAUCUCUUUCCAAUGAAUACUCCUCCGCAACUGGAAAAGAGAAAUCCGUGGGAGGUUUUUUCAUCAUCAUCCUUUUGCUAAAGCUGUAUAAAUUCUCUUUUUGUCACUUCUGUCAAAAAAAUCCAAAU
rnacentral:lncRNA from 1 species